rnacentral:rRNA from 1 species
GAUGCGGGAGAGGAUCUCUUGGUCUUUAUAGGUAGUGAGCAUAUCAAUAGGCGUAGGAUGGUCUUCUUGGACAUGUUGCCGUGCUUGCCCUACCCCCAUCUUCCAACACGUGUGCACAUUUUUGAGGGAGUUUCGAGUUUUAUUGCCGUUUUUGGUGAUUUUCUUGUAUUCCCUUGAAUUAUUAUACUCUGUUAACAAUGAUGAACGUGCUCUGUGCCGCAAGGACAUUAAUAUAAUACAACUUUUAACAACGGAUCUCUUGGCUCUCGCAUCGAUGAAGAACGCAACGAAAUGCGAUAAGUAAUGUGAAUUGCAGAAUUCAGUGAAUCAUCGAAUCUUUGAACGCACCUUGCGCUCCCUGGUAUUCCGGGGAGCACGCCUGUUCGAGUGUCUCGAAAUUUCUCAAGCUUGUAUGGUCUUUUUGUCUGUCCUUAUCCUUGGUUGUUGGGCUUUGCCGUGUCCUUUGUUGGGACGGCUGGCCUUAACAGCAUUAGCUGAUCCUCGUGUGGCACAGGUUCUACUCAGCGUGAUAACAGGAAGAUCGCUGAGGACAUCUUUUGGGAUGGCCAGUUCUCAUUUGGGUUGCUUCCAAACUUGGUUUUGCAGAUUCUUCAAUCUGUGUUCCACUUUUCAGCUUUGACCUCGAAUCAGGUGGGACUACCCGCUGAACUUAAGCAUAUCAUAAGCCGGAGGAGGUG